AGAAUACUUUCUUGGAAAGCCUAGGAGUGCCGAUAUUUUUUAUAUAUAUAUAUAUAUAUAUAUAUAUAUAUAUAUCAGCACUCCUGGGCUUUCCAAGAAAGUAUUCU